rnacentral:hammerhead_ribozyme from 1 species
AUCUAACUGACGAGUCCCAAAUGGGACGAAAUGCGCAUUAUCCUGGAU